GACAGAGGAUGCAAGCGUUGUCCGGAAUUAUUGGGCGUAAAGCGCGCGCAGGCGGUCCUUUAAGUCUGAUGUGAAAGCCCACGGCUCAACCGUGGAGGGUCAUUGGAAACUGGGGGACUUGAGUGCAGGAGAGAAGAGUGGAAUUCCACGUGUAGCGGUGAAAUGCGUAGAGAUGUGGAGGAACACCAGUGGCGAAGGCGGCUUACUGGACUGUAACUGACGGUGAGGCUCGAAAGCGUGGGGAGCAAACAGG
rnacentral:rRNA from 1 species